AUGGUCCCUCACCAUUGGGCCGACCUCCAUCUGAAACGAGAGCUUUUCUCUCUCCUCCAACGUUGUUGGAGGGUCCACUCAGACUCUCCCCUUUGCUUCCAGGGGGAGGAGGAAGAGGCUCACGAGGCCCUGAGAACCUUCUGGACCAUCAGAUGAACACUGAAAGAGGAGACUCAAGCUAUGACAGGUUAUCUGAUGCUCCUAGAGCACCUUCUGACAGGUCCCUGUCACCUCCAUGGGAACAAGAACGCAGGAUGACAGCCCAUCCACCACCAGGUGUGUGAAACAACAGUCCUAUCUUAAAGUCAAGAUACAUUUUGGGAAUAAGAAUAAGUCUAGAAAAAAGAAUAUUAGGAGGUGAUGGUUUACAUUAGAAGAAGCUUUUCCUUAUUGUUUUUGUUGCUUAUAAAAGUAAUAACGCUUAUUUUUGAAAAUAUGAGUAGUGUAGGGAUGUAUAGCUAAAAAGUAAAAAUUUUGGGGUUGGAGAUUUAGCUCAGCGGUAGAGGCCCUGGGUUCGGUCCCCAGCUCCAAAAAAAAGAAAAAAAAAAAAGUAAAAGUUUCCAUUGUAAUCUUAACCAUCUUGCCCAGAAUGAAUGAAUGAAUGAAUGAAUGAAUGAAUGAAUGAAAAAAUAUAUAUUUAUUUAUAUUAAAA
rnacentral:lncRNA from 1 species